rnacentral:rRNA from 1 species
AGAGUUUGAUCAUGGCUCAGAAUGAACGCUGGCGGCAGGCCUAACACAUGCAAGUCGAACGAGGUAGCAAUACCUAGUGGCGGACGGGUGAGUAACACGUGGGAACGUACCCUUUGCUACGGAAUAGCCCUGGGAAACUGGGAGUAAUACCGUAUGAGCCCGAGAGGGGAAAGAUUUUAUCGGCAAAAGGGAUCGGCCCGCGUUGGAUUAGGUAGUUGGUGGGGGUAAUGGCCUACCAAGCCGACGAUCCAUAGCUGGUUUGAGAGGAUGAUCAGCCACACUGGGACUGAGACACGGCCCAGACUCCUACGGGAGGCAGCAGUGGGGAAUCUUAGACAAUGGGGGAAACCCUGAUCUAGCCAUGCCGCGUGAUCGAUGAAGGCCUUAGGGUUGUAAAGAUCUUUCAGGUGGGAAGAUAAUGACUGUACCACCAGAAGAAGUCCCGGCUAACUCCGUG